rnacentral:rRNA from 1 species
AAUAUUGGACAAUGGGGGCAACCCUGAUCCAGCCAUCCCGCGUGUGUGAAGAAGGUCUUCGGAUUGUAAAGCACUUUAAGUUGGGAGGAAGGGCUUUAGCCUAAUACUCUGAACUUUUGACGGUACCAACAGAAUAAGCACCUGCUAACUCUGUGCCAGCAGCCGCGGUAAUACAAUGGGUGCAAGCGUUAAUCGGAAUUACUGGGCGUAAAGCGGGCGUAGGUGGUUCAGGAAGAUAGGUGUGAAAUCCCCGAGCUUAACCUGGGAACUGCUUUCAUAACUGCUGAGCUAGAGUACGGUAGAGGGUAGUGGAAUUUCCUGUGUAGAGGUGAAAUGCGUAGAUAUAGGAAGGAACACCAGUGGCGAAGGCGACUACCUGGGCUGAUACUGACACUGAGGUGCGAAAGCGUGGGGAGCAAAC